rnacentral:rRNA from 1 species
AUGCCUCCAGUGGCAUCACCUUGCAGUAGUUGUCGCGCUCGCCGUAGAAAUCUGGGUCGACAGAUCCACCGAUUCAUUCAACCACGCAGACGCAGACAUGACGACGAGACGGAUCGGCAUCGAAGGAGAUGGAAGAUACUAGUUACCCGAAGGGUCGUCGGUCUGGCUGUUGAGGAACUGGGAGCGCAGGAGGAAAAGGAGACACCAUACGGAGAAGACGACCGAGACCGACACCUCGCGGAGGCCGCCGUCCAUGGAGAGCACAUCCGUUACCGGCGUCGGCCCGCCGCCGCCUCCCCUGUGCUGAUGAGCCCCUCCCCCACCGCCUUUUCCUCCUCCGCCUCCUUCUCUCUUCUUCUUGCUCAUGCAUGCACCACCUACCUACGACGACGUGCCUGCCCACUGUGA